rnacentral:misc_RNA from 1 species
UGAAACCAGAAUCAACAAAUAUCGCACCAGCAAGGGACUCGAUAACAUCUGCAAGCACCUUCGGGUAAGUAGUUUCAGCCUCCCAUCCGAAUGUGGACACAAGGUUCAAUUUCUUGAAAUCCUCGACAGUACUAGAUAUAUGCCUUUGCAGAACUUGCAGGUCAUAAAGAAUGUGAUCGUGCAGGCCAGCCUUAACUGCAGA